rnacentral:rRNA from 1 species
UACAGAGGUGGCAAGCGUUGUUCGGAAUUACUGGGCGUAAAGGGCGUGCAGGCGGUCUGUUAAGUUCAGGGUGAAAGCUCCCGGCUCAACUGGGAGAGGUCCUUGGAUACUGGCAGACUUGAGGGAGGUAGAGGAGAGUGGAAUUCCCGGUGUAGUGGUGAUAUGCGUAGAUAUCGGGAGGAACACCGGUGGCGAAGGCGGUCU